UGCUCUGCGUGCGGGAGGCUGCGCUUUCAGUCAUUAUUUGGAUUUCGUUUUCCACAUGAAAAUAUUUAGAGAUCCAGCUCUUGGAAGCCAAGGAGAAACUGGCUUUUAAGUACCAUGGCUACUGUGACGUAUCCUGACUAAUGCCGACAGCACAGGGAGCCUUUGCCUGCCGGAGGAAGCGGUGAGGAAGAGGUGGUGCGUCGUGCACUUCCUGUUGCUGUUUUAGGACAGCUUGGACGUAGUUUGUUCCAGGGAAGUGCUGCUGAACCAGGUAAACCCAGCCCCCCAUCUCCAGGAGCAGAGGCUGCAAGGACAGGAAGACAAUGAGGCAAUGGUGUGCUGGGGGAAUCGUGCUAAAGUGAAAGCAUCCUUCGAUCAUUUUUAAGUCAUUCUAGGAUCUUCAGGGCAUCAAAGUUUUGCCUGUGAGCCUCAAUUGGUCUAAUACAAAAAUACAGACUGUGGUUAAUCAUCUGAGCUUUGAGAUCAUGUGAGAUUGUAAUCCUGCCUUGGUUCUGCCACUUACUGCUGGUGAAGGAAAAAUUAAUCUUUCCAAACAGCUUGCAAGACAGAAAUCAUGCUUUCUACCUCCCAAAGCUGCUGUGGGCAUGAAACAGCCCACGUGCAUGAGGUGCCCAGCAUAGCGCCUGGAAAUCACACACAAUCACAGAAUCAUGGGGCCAGAGGAGGCCCUUGAAGUUUUAUCUGAUUUACUCCUCCCAUGAGAUGCUUUAAUUCUCCAACUUCUCCUCAAUGGCACCUAUAAAGAAAUGGGUUCUCCCUCUGUUGUUCUC
rnacentral:lncRNA from 1 species